AUGGAGAAGCUUCUGAAUGUCACCCACCAAGAAGCUGCGAGCUGGAUGCUCCACAGAUAUGAUGUACAGAGCCUUCCCUGCUGGCCCUUUUCCUUCCACCUGGAGAUCAGCCUAGGUCCACAGCAUCCUUUAAGAGGAGGAGAGAAGGCAAGGAACGAGAGGGAUGAGGACAGGUCCCUGAGCAGGAAAGGGGCCUGCAGUACGGGGGAAGCCAGCUUGGUGGAGUCCGCAGGCGCCCCCCUUGGAGGUGCAGCACUGGCCUCGCAGUUCCCAGGCGGGAGAGCGCGGGAGGGCGGCCGGCGGGAUCGGGUCCUCGGUGGCUGGGGAUGCAGCCAUGUAAGGCCUUACGAAACGUGCAGAGCCGGCCCCGGCGCCGGCAGUACGGCCGCGGGGGGACGGACACCCACGCGGGAGACCGCCCCAAGCCCUGCCCGCCGCGGGCUGCGGAGGCUUCCGCACAGGCGGGCAAACCGCGCUGCGUCCGCCCCGCCCCGGCCCGCCCUGUGCCGCGGGGCUCAGGGCCCACGACGCUUACUCAGGUGGAGUUUCCAGUUGAGCUCGGCUCGAGGGUUUAAAUGGAUGACGUGUUCCAUCCGAAGUCGGAGUUCAUGUGAUCUUACUUCUGUGUCUAACCCCGUUCUCACCUCUAUCCCUAAAUUACUCUCUUCAGCUCCCACCCCUGAGCUCCCUCGCCUGACAGUGAUCGGCACUCGUGCUGCCAUCUGCAGACAGGAGCAUUCCCAUGUGGCCCCGGUCCCCGGGCCGGGCAGUGGCGGCCCAGGACCACGCGUCUACUUUCAGAGCCCCCUCCGGGGCCGCAGGAGAGGGCCCGGGCGGCACGGACGAUGAGGGCCCAGUGAGGCGCCAAGGGAAGGUCACCGUCCAGUAUGACCUCAAGGAACUACGGAAGCGCCUCAACCUGGAGGAGUGGAUCCUGGAGCAGCUUACGCGCCUCUACGACUGCCAGGAAGAGGAGAUCCCAGAACUAGAGAUUGAUGUGGAUGAGCUCCUGGACAAGGAGAGUGAUGAUGCCCGGGCUGCUGGUUGACUGUUACAAACCCACAGAGGCCUUCACCUCUGGCCUGCCGGGCAAGAUCCGGGGCAUGCAGAAGCUGAGCACACCCCAGAAGAAGUGAGGGUCCCCGACCCAGGCGAACGGUGGCUCCCACAGAACAAUCGCUGCCCCUCGAACUCGUAGCAACAGCAACACCGGGGGACCCUGCGGCCAGGCCUGGUGCCAUGAGCAGGGCUCCUCGUGCCCCUGGCCUAGGAGUCUCUUCCCCUGCCCCCUCAGUUUUCCACUUUUGGGGUUUUUUUAUUGUUAUUAAACUGAUGGGACUUUU